GGAGCCCCAGACCCGGGAUUCCCAGCUGCUCCAAUUCUCUGAUCAGGACUGAGCACAGACGACUCACCAUGGAGCUGGGGAUGAGCUGGGUGGUCCUGGCUGCUCUUCUACAAGGUGUCCAGGCUGAGGUGCAGCUGGUGGAGUCUGGGGGAGGCUUGGUGCAGCCUGGGGGGUCUCUGAGACUCUCCUGUGCAGCCUCUGGAUUCACCUUCAGUAGCUACUGGAUGUACUGGGUCCGCCAGGCUCCAAGGAAGGGGCUCGAGUGGGUCUCAACUAUUAAUAGUGCUGGUGGUAGCACAUACUAUGCAGACUCAGUGAAGGGCCGAUUCACCAUCUCCAGAGACAACGCCAAGAACACGGUGUAUCUGCAAAUGAACAGCCUGAAACCUGAGGACACGGCCGUGUAUUACUGUGUGAGAGACACAGUGAGGGGAAGUCGAUGUGAGCCCAGAUGCAAACCUCCCUGCAGUGACACAGGGUGGGAGCAGGGGGCGCACAUAACCCACCAGGGGGCGCACCUGAUCCACCAGGUGGUGCUCAGGGUCCACCUGCUGUGUUCAGGGUCAGCCCAAUGAGCAGGUGCAUGGGGCGGUGAUUGUCUCUUCUCAUUAAGAAAACUUUUUUUGGGCUUAUAACACUUGGC